UUUGACGCGUCAUGUAAUCUUCGUUCUAAUGGCGCAACUCCUCCCACUCAUUCAUAAUCCGACCUCCGCGUUUGCACUCGCUGCCUACAAGAGCGCCCAAAUUUGAACAUCACUGAUGUUCAUCGGAUUUACAGAGUGACGACAACCCCCGUCAGCAUGUUAGAUAAAGGAUUUAAGUUAUAUGCUGCAUCAUAUAUACACAACUACGAAGUGUCCAAAAAACACAGGUUGACAGGGGAAGUCGGUGUGAGAGCCCUGUGCUACAGGUCAAUGAGGAAGAGUGAGGCACCACACAGACUAAGUGUAGGCAGGAAGCUGUGUAAAGUUGUUAAUCCCUGUUCAGUGGGGUUCAGUUCAUUUAAGCAUUAGUUAAGUUCAUUCCUGAAGGCCCAUCAACUUGAAUGUUUUCCUUGUCCCCCUGCUUUAUCACACCUAAUUUGACUAGUCAGAUGUGUUUGGGUGAUCAGAAACAAAUUUACACCAAGUUAAUACUGCAAAUAUACACAAUCUAAGUUAUUACAGUUAUCAAGGAUGGUUAAAUUGUUUUAAUAGGGAGAGAAGGAAACACUAAGCAUUCAGGAGGGUAAGCCUGUAGGGGUCAGUAACCAUAACACUGAACUAUGUUCCUGUUCGGCUCUUCCAUGAAGAUGAUGUUACAUUUUUAAUUUUAGUUCUUUCUUCUUAGAUUAAGCUUCUGGAUUCAUCGCCGGUGGUACUGACACAUAGCCAGUGCUCCUGUGUGGCAGGUGCUGUUAUGUGCAAUCACACAGUGGCACUGCUCUUCCAAACAGCACACUACUCACAACUCAGAGUGCCGGUUGUCCCCCUGUGCAUAGCUGCACCGAAUCUGAACAGCAAUGGCACAAGCCACGGACAGUGGGUGUGAAGCCAGGACCUAUCAACUCUAUGAUCUUCACUAAGCCGGUACCAAAUAGGAUGGCCCAGACUGGAGUACGGAGUGGAUUCUACAGAGGCAUUGUGGGUCCAUUACCAGAUCCCUGACCUGACAAGCCCCUUGUGGAAAGUGCCUUUGGGCUGGUGCAGGAGGGCAGUGUUCUGUCAUGUCAGCAGCCGGUUUUGACAACCCGGUACAUCACACUACACCGUGAUGCACCACCAACACCGCACUUGCCUCUGGAGUAUGGGUAUGACAUGAAGGAAACCCUGCUCGCUCAGACAGCCUGUGAUAUUUUCUCAAACCGCUGCGCUGAACCAGUUUCCAAAGAACAUGCUGUGUGACACAAUAAAUAUCCUUUAACCUGUUAACCUGUGGCUUCUGGAAGAAACUCGGGUGAGUCAGUCACUGCAAACACAUUUGUAUCAUCAAGUGUUUGUCAAAUGAAAAUGAUAUGUUUUUCUACACUUAGGAUAAUUUUCUAUGUUGCAGUGCAGUAAAGUGCACGUUUCUUCUGUGUUCAAUCAUACAUGUUCUAAUUGUUAUAAACAGAAAAAAUCUUUUCUUACUUAACUGCUUGAUUCUUAACUUGUUUAACUGAAACAUGAUGAAAUGUCAUAGUAUUAUUUUUUUUUUUUAAAUGUCCUUGGCAGUGCAUGUGUCUGCAUUGUAACUUACUAAUAAAAAGUCCUGUGUGUA